rnacentral:rRNA from 1 species
UACAGAGGUGGCAAGCGUUGUUCGGAAUUACUGGGCGUAAAGGGCGCGUAGGCGGCCAUCUAAGUCAGGCGUGAAAUCCCCCGGCUUAACCUGGGAACUGCGUCUGAUACUGGACGGCUUGAGUAUGGGAGAGGGAUGUAGAAUUCCAGGUGUAGCGGCGAAAUGCGUAGAUAUCUGGAGGAAUACCGGUGGCGAAGGCGGCAUCCUGGACCAUUACUGACGCUGAUGCGCGAAAGCUAGGGGAGCAAACGGG